rnacentral:rRNA from 1 species
AAUUCACUAGUGAUUAGAGUUUGAUCGUGGCUCAGAUCAAACUCUAAUCGAAUUCCCGACACAGGCAAGUCGAGCGGUAACAUGCGACAUCGUGCCCAAGCGCCGAACAGUGAGUAAUGCUUCGGAAUCUUCCUCGUAGUGGGGAACAACCUGGGGAAACUCAGGCUAAUACCGCAUACGAACUACGGUUGAAAGCAGGGGAUCGCAAGACCUUGCGCUAUGAGAUGAGCCGAAGUCGGAUUAGCUAGUUGGUGGGGUAAAGGCCUACCAAGGCGACGAUCCGUAGCUGGUCUGAGAGGACGACCAGCCACACUGGAACUGAGACACGGUCCAGACUCCUACGGGAGGCAGCAGUGGGGAAUAUUGGACAAUGGGGGCAACCCUGAUCCAGCGACGCCUUUUAGGUGACACCACAGAAUACUCUUGCUCUUGAUU